GUGCUCCUGAGACAGAGCAACAACGGUGUCCCCGCGGGGCCCUGCUCCUUCGCCGAGGAGCUCAGCCGCAUCCUGGAGAAGAGGAAGCACACGCAGCUCGUAGAGCAGCUGGACGAGAGCUCCGUCUGAGCCAGCCCGGGGCAGACCUUCCACACCAGCCUGGCUGCCCCAGGCUGGGCCACUGCCUCCCCAGCACAGCUAGCCACCUCCCUACCCCACCCCAUGCCCUUCCCCAACUUUUUUACGUCCCUGUAGGGCUGGCCAGUCAGGCACAGCCAAAGCCCCUCAGUCUCCACAGACCCACGUGAUCAGCCCAGGCCUGCCGGUGCUCCUCAGAGGCAGGGCUCGCAGGUCCAGAUGGCCUCAGUGUCACCAGUCUCUGCAUGGCCGUGUGCUGGGCGGUCCUGAAGCCAGACAAGACCCCCGCCAGCCACAUGUGCCCAUGGAGGAAUGUUAGGACUGGGCUGCAGCACCUCCCACCCCCGCCCCAGCACAUUCUCAUCUGGCCCUUCUGCACCUGGAGUCCCCUCCCAACUGCCACCUCCCUGUCCAUGCUCUCCCCAGUCCCAGCCCCAUGUGGUGGCCUCUUUGGGAGCAGGCCAGCCUUAGGAGGUAAGACCACAUCAUUCCCCUCUCCUCUCCCGAGCAGCCCUCGUGAGUCAGCUUCCCCACUCCCCUUGGCCACUCGAGUGGUAGAGCUCCAGGCAUGUCCCUCUGCCAUGCACAUGUGGUACCACACACCUCUACACACGUGCUUACACGUCCACUCACGUGCACCUCUGAGCCUCCCUUUGCCACCUCGAACCUGUCAGGUUGGUCCAUGGACAUUAAGAGGGAGAUUCCCCCUCCCGUCUAGCUGUCCUAGCGGACCCUUCCUAGGACCCUCGCCUGGGACGGGUGACCAACACUGCACUCAAUGAGCCAGCCUCCCUGUGGGGACCAAGCAUUUGCCCCUCCACCAGAGCAGGGGAAGGGAGGAGAGCUGAUGUCUCACCUGGCACAUGAAGCCCGUUCUUGGAACUAUGCAAAGGCCAGAGGCUGGGAGUUUGAAUGCUUGGCUUCCACCCCUGUCCUACCUCACCAGGACACUUUCAGGGUCCAGGGGCCUCUGAAGUCUCCAGGCCCAUGUGGGACAAUCAAUCCUGACAGAGCUCCCCCAUUCCCCUUGGGUGAGGAAGACUGUUAUUUUUGUAGCUGAGAUCGUGGAAUCCCACGGGUUUUUACUGCCCUUCCCCCCUCCCGCCCCACCUCCACCCCACAAUGAAUGUAUUUAUUGUGAAAACGGCUACACUUUAGGAAUGCCCCCACUCACCACCCAGGUGGGUGGAACAGGCAUGUGAUGGUGGGGAGACUGGGCUCAGCCCAGCUCCACCCCCUCCUGCCCCACUUGGUUAAUAAAGACCCUCUUCCCCACA